rnacentral:rRNA from 1 species
ACUCCUACGGGAGGCAGCAGUGGGGAAUAUUGGACAAUGGGCGAAAGCCUGAUCCAGCAAUGCCGCGUGAGUGAUGAAGGCCUUAGGGUUGUAAAGCUCUGUCGGAGGGAACGAACGCUCUGAAGGUUAACAGCCUUCGGAGGUGACGGUACCCUCAAAGGAAGCACCGGCUAACUCUGUGCCAGCAGCCGCGGUAAU